rnacentral:lncRNA from 1 species
CGUAGAACUGAAUUGGCCAGAAAUAUGUUUAGCCCAAAAUAUUUGCAUUCACCCUUGACCACUCCUAGCAGCAGAAAGAAAAAUUCGCAGAAAAAAAAUAGGCAAGAACUAAAAGAUGGCAAUUUCAGAGUUUUUUUACCGACCGUCCCUAGAGCAAGUGGCAAAGAACUUGAUGGUUGGUAUCUGAGACUCAAGUUCGAAUCCUAUUUGAUUCAUAUUUCUAGCUAAGUUUAUUUCUAAAUGAAAUAAACGAAGCGGUAUCUCUCAAAAAAA